rnacentral:lncRNA from 1 species
AAUGAUUUUCUAUUUUAGAAUUCUAGUAUCACUUUAAUGAAAAUUCGGCAUGAGUGUGCAUAUGUGGCACCGAAGCUAAUUCUUUUUGAAAAAGAAAAAACAGAGUCGGCAAAUUAAUUUUCUAGAUGUGCAUUUGUUCAAAACGAUGUGUUUUGAAGAGAACCCCUUCCCCUUCGAUUUCUUUUCAUAACCUGGGGUUUGAAUUAGCAGUAGAAUCUUAUUCUUCGUUCCGUUGUUCCAUCUCAACGUCAACAACAGUCGCUGGUGAUUGUGACGAUGUUGCAAGCAAAGAUGUAAGAGGCGACGACGGAGACUCAAUGGUGGUCGAAGAAGGAGCAGUCGCUGGUGAUGGUGACGAUGUUAGUGGUUUAAUAGUAAGAGCAGGUGUUGGAGCAAUUGCUUUUCGAGGAGAAGCAGAUGAACAAGAACCUCUCCUACGGGCUGUAAAAGACUUAAAAGGAAAGUCAAGUUAGAAAAUGCAAUUUUGUCGAUUUAGAUUAGUUAUUACCUGCAACUUGCUUGAAAAUAUGACUUUGAAAUUAGAAAUCCAAAAAUUCAUAACUAGUUCCUUCUUUUAAUCUUUCUCUUCCCCUCACUCUAUUUCUCUUUCUUUGCCUUACUUAGAAGCAAAACAUCAUCUUCUAAAUGAACGAAAAUAAAAUAGAGCCAUUCAAUCCAAUACGCAAUCCAAUCUCGGUUACCACAAGAACUAUUCUCAGCACAUUCCUUGAAUCCCUCACAUUUCUUACUUUCUAUGCUGUGAAAUUCUAUUAGAUUGCAACUGAUACUAGCUUAUCAACAUGCCAGAGUAAACCUCCUUGUUUAACUCCAAUCUCAAGCACAAAAUCUUCAUCUCGGUGGUGCUGCUGCUUCAUUGGCUAACCGAUGACCGAACGAAAAGGAGCAACGAUUAAGAUUUAAUCUUGAGAGUUCGAGAGAAACAAAAUUUAGAGGUAAAAAGGGUGAUGCAUUGUGUCCAUUAGGCAAGCGAAGAAGAGAAUAAGUUGUUCUGGUUGCAGAGAACGUCAUUGUUUUGAGAGAAAAACAAGGUGGAAUCAAUGAUUUUUGCUGUUCAAUUAUUUGGCUUCUCUAUUUCUUGUUUUUGUAUUAAAUGAGAUGUUUUGAUUUUUAAUUA